GAUGAACGCUGGCGGCGUGCCUAAUACAUGCAAGUCGAACGGUAACACUUCGGGUGACGAGUGGCGGACGGCUGAGUAACGCGUGGGAACGUGCCCCAAAGUGAGGGAUAAGCACCGGAAACGGUGUCUAAUACCGCAUAUGAUCUUCGGAUUAAAGCUUUAUGCGCUUUGGGAGCGGCCUGCGUCCUAUUAGAUAGUUG
rnacentral:rRNA from 1 species